UAUUCCUGCAGGGCAGCCCAUGUAGUUCAUUCCAAUGCCAUGAUUGUAUAAAUUGUACUUUUUAAAUUAGUCAUUAUUAGCAUCUUUCUUGCACCAUUCUUCAAUUUUUUAAUUGACAGGUUAUAAUAGAUUUAAUACAGUAGUCAUAAGAAUAUUGUCCCCUUCCAAAAAAUCCUUUCAGACUCCUCUUUGCUGUAUGUAUAUAGUCCUGCCGAUUAUACUGGAUUACCCGAAGCUGCUAGGAAAUGAAGCUAAAGCUUUCUGCAUUUAAUACUCACUCUCUUCCAUUGAACCAUGAACCACAGCAUUACAUUAAUUGACCAUUACAUACACUAUACAUUAAAACUGAUAUUACGUUCAAGUUACCUAAUCAUCAACUAUUCCCUGCCCAUUGUAUCCAUUGGCCUUUUCCAAUCUAAUGUCUUUCACAUGGGUUUGGACUAUCAUUCCUAGGGAGGGUGGUCAAAACCAAAAUGCUGGACUAACAGUGUGCAGGUGAAAGGAGAAACAAGUACUUUGUGUAAUUUCUCCAUUACAUAAUAUGGAACAAUUUAAACAUGGCUUACAGGCUGUUACAUGAACUUUAAUAAAUAUUUUAUUCUUGUUUUAA